rnacentral:pre_miRNA from 1 species
AUUGUACUCCCCCGUCCCCAAAAAAAAAUCUUUAGAUUUGUCUAAAUAUAAAUGUAUCUAGUCAUGUUUUAGUAUUUAGGUACAUUUAUUUUUAGACAAAUCUAAAAUAAGAAUUUUGGGACGGAGGGAGUACGUG